UUUGCACGUUUCAACGAGUUGAACACUUUCGCUCAGCGUUCUUUUCUUUCCUUGCCACAACUUUCCACCUCUUUUCCCCAAUCAUGCGUUUCCAAAACAAUCAUUUUCCUCGCGUGCAAGGAAAGACAAGGA